rnacentral:tRNA from 1 species
UGCGGAUGAGUGAAACGGAUAUACAAAUCAUUCUAGCCUCAUAAGCUAUGAGAUACCAGGUUCGACUCCUGCGAUCCGCAA